GGAUGAACGCUGGCGGCGUGCCUAACACAUGCAAGUCGAACGGGAAACACCCUUCGGGGUGUGGCGAGUGGCGAACGGGUGAGUAACACGUAGCUUAUCUGCCCUCAGGAGCGGGACAACGGCUGGAAACAGUCGCUAAUACCGCAUAAGCUCACGAUGAAUAGACAGUUGUGAGAAAAGACUCCGGUGCCUGAGGAUGAGGCUGCGUUCCAUCAGCUAGUUGGUGAGGUAAAGGCUCACCAAGGCGACGACGGAUAGGGGACCUGAGAGGGUGACCCCCCACACUGGAACUGAGACACGGUCCAGACUUCUACGGAAGGCAGCAGUGAGGAAUAUUGCACAAUGAGCGCAAGCUUGAUGCAGCGACGCCGCGUGGGUGAUGAAGGUUUUCGGAUCGUAAAGCCCUUUUCUGCGUGACGAGGAAGGACGGUAGCGCAGGAAUAAGUCUCGGCUAACUACGUGCCAGCAGCCGCGGUAAAACGUAGGAGGCAAGCGUUAUCCGGAGUUACUGGGCGUAAAGCGCGUGCAGGCGGAUGGUUAAGUCAGAUAUGAAAGCUCCCGGCUAAACUGGGAGAGGCUGUCUGAAACUGGCUAUCUAGAGUGGAGAAGAGGCAAAUGGAAUUCCGCGUGUAGUGGUGAAAUGCGUAGAUAUGCGGAGGAACACCAGUGGCGAAGGCGAUUUGCUGGUCUCCAACUGACGCUGAGACGCGAAAGCAUGGGUAGCGAACGGGAUUAGAAACCCCGGUAGUCCAUGCUGUAAACGAUGCACACUAGACGUUCGUAGUGCUACGGUGCUAUGAGUGUCGCAGCCAACGCGAUAAGUGUGCCGCCUGGGGAGUACGGUCGCAAGGCUAAAACUCAAAGGAAUUGACGGGGGCCCGCACAAGCAGCGGAGCGUGUGGUUUAAUUCGAGGCUACGCGAAGAACCUUACCCGGGUUUGACAUGUUAGCUGACGGUUUUGGAAACAAGCCGGUCCCUUCGGGGAGCUAUCACAGGUGCUGCAUGGCUGUCGUCAGCUCGUGCCGUGAGGUGUUCGGUUAAGUCCGCAAACGAGCGCAACCCUUAUGAUUAGUUACAAGUGUCUAAUCAGACUGCCCGUGGCAAACGGGAGGAAGGUGGGGAUGACGUCAAGUCAGCAUGGCCUUUAUAUCCGGGGCUACACACACGCUACAAUGGUCAGUACAGUGGGUCGCGAAACCGCGAGGUGGAGCUAAUCCUGAAAGCUGAUCGUAGUUCGGAUGGCAGGCUGCAACUCGCCUGCCUGAAGUCGGAGUUGCUAGUAACCGCGUAUCAGCACGGCGCGGUGAAUACGUUCCCGGGCAUUGUACACACCGCCCGUCACGUCAUGGAAGCUGGUUACGCCUGAAGUCGG
rnacentral:rRNA from 1 species